rnacentral:rRNA from 1 species
AUACGUAGGGUGCGAGCGUUGUCCGGAAUUACUGGGCGUAAAGAGCUCGUAGGUGGUUUGUCGCGUCGUCUGUGAAAUUCCGGGGCUUAACUCCGGGCGUGCAGGCGAUACGGGCAUAACUUGAGUACUGUAGGGGAGACUGGAAUUCCUGGUGUAGCGGUGAAAUGCGCAGAUAUCAGGAGGAACACCGGUGGCGAAGGCGGGUCUCUGGGCAGUAACGGACGCUGAGGAGCGAAAGCAUGGGUAGCGAACAGGAUUAGAUACCCGGGUAGUCCAUGCCGUAAACGGUGGGCGCUAGGUGUAGGGGUCUUCCACGACUUCUGUGCCGUAGCUAACGCAUUAAGCGCCCCGCCUGGGGAGUACGGCCGCAAGGCUAAAACUCAAAUGAAUUGACGGGG